rnacentral:rRNA from 1 species
UGGGGAAUCUUGGACAAUGGGCGCAAGCCUGAUCCAGCCGUGCCGCGUGUGUGAAGAAGGCCUUCGGGUUGUAAAGCACUUUCGGACGGAACGAAAUCGCGCGGUUGAAUAUCCCGCGUGGAUGACGGUACCGUAAGAAGAAGCGCCGGCUAACUACGUGCCAGCAGCCGCGGUAAUACGUAGGGUGCGAGCGUUAAUCGGAAUUACUGGGCGUAAAGGGUGCGCAGGCGGCUCCGCGUGUCAGACGUGAAAUCCCCGGGCUCAACUUGGGAAUGGCGUUUGAAACUACGGAACUGGAGUGUGGCAGAGGGAGGUGGAAUUCCACGUGUAGCGGUGAAAUGCGUAGAGUAUGUGGAGGAACACCGAUGGCGAAGGCAGCCUCCUGGGCCAACACUGACGCUCAUGCACGAAAGCGUGGGGAGCAAACAGGAUUAGAUACCCUAGUAGUCCCUGAGCGGGCUGGCAAGGCGCAU